GGACAGGCUGGACAGGUGAUUCUAAGAAUCAUUGCAGGAUUCCGGGUUGUAUGAAGUGGGAGCACAACAUUUAAGAUGAAAGACGAAGGGACUUCAUCAGCAGCAAGGCCUCGCAAGUAGCCACUCCCAGGAGUUUGGAUGUUUCACGAACAAGGAAUGUUUGUGGCCCCACAGGGCUCUGGGACACGGCAUAAAAGGCUGCGCUGCUCCAGGCUCUGCAUCCUCCUCCUCUCUGGUGUGCCUUUCCUCGAGGAACGAGCUUUGCCUCCUGCGCCGAGAGAUGUCUUGCUGCAGACCCUGUCCCCCACGGCCCUGCGGCCCCUGUGGCCCAACCCCCCUUGCAAGCAGCUGCAGUGAGCCCUGUGUCGCCCGCUGCGCUGACUCCACGGUGUACAUCGAGCCUUCGCCGGUGGUGGUGACCAUGCCGGGCCCCAUCCUCACCUCUUUCCCUCAGAGCACAGCCGUGGGAUCCUCUCUGUCAGCUGCUGUGGGCAGCUCCCUCAGCAGUGCGGGGGUUCCCAUCUCUUCUGGGGGCUCCCUUGGGCUGGGGGGGUCAGGCCUGUGUCUGCCUUCCCCCCGCUGCGGUCAGAUCUGCUGAAGCCGGCGGCUCAUGCCCUCUGUCCUUGGCAAAUGGGCCGAUCUCUUUCCCUGCCUGUUCCCCGCACGCGUGUCCCUUGGUCUGUGUUCUGUGCCGCUGCUUUUGCUCCUUCUCAUUAAAGCCUUUGUGCAGCA